UUUUUCCAAUGCCCUCUUGUUGAAGUUUCUUUUCUAUUAAAGUUGAAAUCCGUUUUAAUCCGAUUGCUGCUUCCUUUUAGUGGAAAAAUUCUCUUCAAACUUUGUAGAAUAAUCCGGAAGUGGUGUAACUUUAACUUACCGGAUGAAAAUUGAAACCAAGUUCCCAAAUCAGGGUAGAGAAUAAGGCGGAGAUGAAGGUAAUAAUUCCAUUGAUGAUGGCGCAGUAAUUGCACGGUACUUCAUCGUUUUUAUUUUGCGCUGUAAUAAUCAACUUAGCUGGUUCUGGUCCAGUCGGAAUAAUUUCCAAAACUAGCUCAUCCAGAUCCUUUAAAAAUAUGCUAUUACUCGCGUCAUAAUCAACCCAUAAUCAACAACAUCCGAAUCAACCCUUUUUCCAACAGCAACAGUACUAUCUACUGUUCCAUCGGAAUGUCAUCACAUGCCCCAGCCAUGCAUAAUGAUGUUUUUUUUUUUUUUUUUACAAUUCAUUUAUUUGAAACGGCUCGUACCGUAGGUUUCAAAGAGCCAAUGUCUGGUUUGUGUAAUUACAUUUUAAAGUAUCCACAGAUUUAGAUAAAGUGAAAAAGAAAGUAGUAGUUAUAAACGGAGAUCAAUAGUUUUUAGAAAGAGGUAGAUUUCGAGCAUGUAAUCAAUGUCUAUCGCAGCUAAUACCAUAAUGAUGUUAUAAAUCAAAACUAACUUAAAUCCAAAUAUCUCAGAAACGCGUGGAUAUUUUUGGGUAAUAUCUUCACAAAAAAAUUCUACAGAUUGAAAUAAGUUGACUCAUAGUUUUUUUUUUUUUCAUUGGUGAUGAUGGUUGUGACAAAAAAAAUUAUCUUUGGCCUUUCCACCAAAACGCUGCCCUAAAAUUUUAUAUGCUAUCAGCAACACCGAAGCAUCAAGGCAGGCCGUAUUGGUUGGUUUUAGCCUUCCCAUAGCGAACAUAUAAACGAAUAAAUAAUAAAAUCUCGGCAUUUAUAAACAUAGCGGUUCCUCGGAUUAAAUGGGUGGCACAGCACUAACAGCAACACCAGCAGCAGCUACAGGGAAUUGUACAGCCUAUUAGUCAGUUCACCGGACAAUCCUUCCAAUCCUGAUACGGCGGCUACAUUCCGAUUUCUCCGAUAAUAAGUUGUUGCAGCUUAUACAUGGCCAGUUCAAGUGCCCGUUCAAGGGAUCCUAGCUUGACGAAAGACAUCGUCGACGGUAAGGUUUCCAUGACGCCUCGGCUGAUAACACAGAAAACCCAAGCCAUCGCACGCAGGUUCCAGUAGUCAACGGCACCAACACAUUCGGAGGACGGCGCGAGUGUAAUGAACGCAGACCAGGCAUGGGAAUGUCGAUUCAGAAUCCAUUGUAAGCCCAGCAGUUGGUACAUCAGCAAAUACAAAUGCACGUCUAAGCACAACAGAUGCAGCAGCAAAUGCAAUCGUUGCCACUGGAAGUCAAUUCGGCUGGUAGUCGGCAGAAAAUUCGCAGUUCGAUGCUCCCUUGCUGCGAAGUCAUCUCAACUGCAAACAUUCCGGGUUCACACUUGAAACGACGCUGUUUGAACACCGAGGGUGAAAGAUAUGUGACCAAAUACCUAUCCGAAGAUUGAUGAUAGAUACUAUAGACUGACGGUUAAAUGAUCACAUGGUUUAUAGACGUGACUAGAACCGGAUCAUGCCUUUUUUGAACCGAAUACACGUCACGCCUUCGCCGAGGACCAGGUGGUUUUCGAGGCUGUACAGACUGUGCUGAAAUCGGGCAAGGUUCGCACCGAGAAUCUGAGCGGCCAAUCGACCACCAACGACUUCACCCAGGCUAAAGACUCGUUUCCGGAAUAUUUUUUUUUCUUCGUUCGUCAACCGAAUGCAACGUUGAAAUUUAAAAUGUAUUCGAUCUGUAUUGCGAGUAGCAUGCUACUAAUUUUAACUAAUAACUAAUUUUAAGUCGUUCAAAUUAGAAAAUUUACCUGAUUAGUCGUUCAAAUUUGAUUUUUUUCCAAAUAAGAAAUUUAAGAAAAAUAAAAUUCUUAUUAAGUUGGCCAAUAAAAAGCAGUAAUUGAUAUUAUUAUGUCAUGGUCAAUUUAUUUCAACUUCAAAUACAAAUAAACGUAUUUAGAAUAUUAAAUUGUUAAAGUAUUUGA